rnacentral:rRNA from 1 species
AGAGCGAAUGGUGGAUGCCUUGGCUGUAAGAGGCGAUGAAGGACGUACUAGGCUGCGAUAAGCCUUGGGGAGCCGCCAAGAGGCUUUGAUCCAGGGAUUUCCGAAUGGGGCAACCCAACUGAUUAAGUCAGUUACCAAUAUGGAGCUAACCCGGUGAAGUGAAACAUCUCAGUAACCGGAGGAAGAGAAAUCAAACGAGAUUCCGUUAGUAGCGGCGAGCGAAAGCGGAUUAGGGCAAACCACUAGCUUGCUAGUGGGGUUGUAGGACUGCAAUGUGGACUAAGUGUGAUUAUUAUAAUGUUCUGGAAAGGACAAGCACAGAGGGUGAUACUCCCGUAUAUUAAAAUCUAUCUUUACCUAGCAGUAUCCUGAGUAGGGCGGGACACGUGUUAUCCUGUCUGAAUCCGGGGGGACCACCCUCCAACCCUAAAUACUACUUACAGACCGAUAGUGCACAAGUACCGUGAGGGAAAGGUGAAAAGAACCCCAGUGAGGGGAGUGAAAUAGAACCUGAAACCAUUUGCUUACAAUCAUUCAGAGCCCUAUGGUUUAUCCAGGGUGAUGGACUGCCUUUUGCAUAAUGAGCCUGCGAGUUGUGGUCAGUGGCAAGGUUAAGGAUACCCGGAGCCGUAGCGAAAGCGAGUCUUAAUAGGGCGAAUUAGUCACUGGCUGCAGACCCGAAGCGAAGUGAUCUAUCCAUGAGCAGGUUGAAGCUGGUGUAAGAACUAGUGGAGGACCGAACCGGUAACCAUUGAAACGGUUUCGGAUGACUUGUGGAUAGGGGUGAAAGGCCAAUCAAACUUCGUGAUAGCUGGUUCUCUCCGAAAUAUAUUUAGGUAUAGCGUUGUGUAGUAGCUAUGGGGGGUAGAGCACUGAAUGGGCUAGGGCAUACACCAAUGUACCAAACCCUAUCAAACUCCGAAUACCCAUAGUGUAAUCACAGCAGUCAGGCGGCGGGUGAUAAAAUGCGUCGUCGAGAGGGGAACAACCCAGACUACCAGCUAAGGUCCCUAAAUCUUACUUGAGUGGAAAACGAUGUGGAGUUACUUAAACAACCAGGAGGUUGGCUUAGAAGCAGCCAUCCUUUAAAGAAAGCGUAACAGCUCACUGGUCUAGUGAUUCUGCGCGGAAAAUAUAACGGGGCUAAAGUAAGUACCGAAGCUGUAGACUUGAUUUUAUCAAGUGGUAGGAGAGCGUUCACAUCAGCGUUGAAGGUGUACCGGUAAGGAGCGCUGGAGCGAUGUGAAGUGAGCAUGCAGGCAUGAGUAGCGAUAAAAUAGGUGAGAAUCCUAUUCGCCGUAAACCCAAGGUUUCCUACGCGAUGCUCGUCAUCGUAGGGUUAGUCGGGACCUAAGUCGAGUCCGAAAGGGGUAGACGAUGGAAAAUCGGUUAAUAUUCCGAUACUAGUUUUAGUGUGCGAUGGAAGGACGCUUAGAGCUAGGCUGAGCGCACGGAUGGAAGUGUGCGUCUAAGGAUGUAGAUUAAGAUACAGGCAAAUCCGUAUCUUUUUAUUCGAGAUCCAAUGGAGAUUUGAUACCCCUAGGGGAGGAUAAAAUUCAGUCGAUGCUGUCGAGCCAAGAAAAGUUUCUAAGUUUAGCUAAAACUACCCGUACCGUAAACCGACACAGGUGGGUGAGAUGAGUAUUCUAAGGCGCGUGGAAGAAUUCUGGUUAAGGAACUCUGCAAAAUAGCACCGUAUCUUCGGUAUAAGGUGUGCCUACUUUAGUAUAUGGACUUGCUCCAAAAAGCUAGAGAGGUUGCAACAAAGAGUCCCUCCCGACUGUUUACCAAAAACACAGCACUCUGCUAACUCGUAAGAGGAUGUAUAGGGUGUGACGCCUGCCCGGUGCUGGAAGGUUAAUUGAUGAUGUUAGAAGCAAUUCGAAGCAUUUGAUCGAAGCCCCAGUAAACGGCGGCCGUAACUAUAACGGUCCUAAGGUAGCGAAAUUCCUUGUCGAUUAAAUAUCGACCUGCAUGAAUGGCGUAACGAGAUGGGAGCUGUCUCGACCAGGAAUCCAGUGAAAUUGUAGUGGAGGUGAAAAUUCCUCCUACCCGCGGCAAGACGGAAAGACCCCGUGGACCUUUACUAUAGCUUGACACUGCUGUUGGGAUAACGAUGUGCAGGAUAGGUGGGAGGCUUUGAUUCAUAGACGCCAGUUUAUGAUGAGCCAUUGUUGAGAUACCACUCUUCUUUAUUCUGAUAGCUAACUAGAAUGAGUUAUCCUCAUUUAGGACAAUGUCUGGUGGGUAGUUUGACUGGGGCGGUCGCCUCCUAAAAAGUAACGGAGGCUUACAAAGGUUAGUUCAAAGCGGAUGGAAAUCGCUUGAUGAGUAUAAUGGCAUAAACUAGCUUGACUGUGAGACAUACAAGUCGAACAGAGACGAAAGUCGGUCAUAGUGAUCCGGUGGUUCUGAGUGGAAGGGCCAUCGCUCAAAGGAUAAAAGGUACGCCGGGGAUAACAGGCUGAUCUCCCCCAAGAGCUCACAUCGACGGGGAGGUUUGGCACCUCGAUGUCGGCUCAUCGCAUCCUGGGGCUGUAGUCGGUCCCAAGGGUAUGGCUGUUCGCCAUUUAAAGCGGUACGCGAGCUGGGUUCAGAACGUCGUGAGACAGUUCGGUCCCUAUCUUCCGUGGGCGUAGGAAAGUUGAAGAGAUUUGUCCCUAGUACGAGAGGACCGGGAUGAACCAACCACUGGUGUACCAAUUGUUCUGCCAAGAGCAUCGUUGGGUAGCUACGUUGGGAUGUGAUAAGAGCUGAAAGCAUCUAAGCUCGAAGCCAACUCUAAGAUUAACUUUCCCUGAAGUUCCCAGUAAGACUAACUGGUUGAUAGGCUGGAUGUGUAAGCAUUGUAAGGUGUUUAGCUGACCAGUACUAAUAGAACGUUUGGCUUAUUU